UAAGAAAUCGAGUUAUUUUAUUGUUACGAAUUGAUUUAUCUUUAUUUCUAUAGAAGAAAACAUAAGAAUAAAGUACGAAAUGUCUUAAUUAUUGAGUUUUGGAAAAAAUGCGGAUAUUUAAGGGGGAGCCGCUUUAGAGGCUUGAUGUUUUUUUUUUGGAGGGAAAGAAAUAAUUGAUUAAAGCGAAAUUUCUAGGGUUUAUAGUUAUAUAUUUAAACAUCACCCGAAAAUUUUUUGGAUACGAAUUCUUUGAUAUUCUGCCUUAGGGAAACAAUUGCCCGAUGCAUCUCGCGUAUGCAUUUGUCGGACGGCGGAAAGUAUGCAGGUCGCAAUUUCAGUCGGAAACAAAAAAAUUAAAGAGAUUCACAUUUGCCAAUAACUUAUAUUCAAGUUAAGCUAGGAAAUUUUAAAAAAUAAAAAAGUGGUUUUUGACCAAAAAAUGUUACUUUAUGUUGCUUAAACAUAUGUUCAAACUUAAAUUUUCUUAAUUUUUUUAGUUUAAAUAGAAGAUAAUUUAAUGCCAAAGAUAAUAAACUUUGUCGCAAUUCCAUACGAUUAGUUUUUUUCAAUCCUGCCCGAUAAUUAAGAAAAAUCGUAAAAAUGAAAAACCGAGUCAAAGUUUUCGCUUUCUGCCCAAGCGCUCAUAUAUCGCUCGGUCACUAUUUCCCUUCUAUAUAGCUUCGACAAUAUUUCGAAUUCUCAUUUAUAAAUUCCAUCCAUAAAUGUUAUCUCUAAAAAUCUUUUUUCAAUUCAGAACUCAAUAAAAACUUUAAUAGGAUUGCUUCCAAAUGUAUUCAUUUAUCCAGAUUAAGAAGCAGAAAAAUACUCUUAAAUGUGUACGUUAUUAACUGUUCGGAGUUUGCGCCGUACUAAAUUUUGUAAAGAUAGCUUGUCAGUUAAAAAAGGUUUCCAUACCAGAACUUGAUUUUCAUCGGAGCUGUAGGACUAAACUUUCGGUCUGAAAAAAUUGAUAUUGAUACAUAUAACGCGAAAAUUCUGCUAACAGAAUCGCCUAAGAAUAAAAGGAAAAUUUUGAAUUGAAUUUACUAAAAUCGAAUGAAUAUUGCCGAUCUUGAUAUCACACGAUUAGUGGGAUUCUGUAAGCAAUCUCUUGUUUCUAUUUGAGACAUUUUGACCAGUUACUAUUCACAAUAUAGUCUCUAUCCUCAAAAUAUUGUCUCAAAUUUUGUCAGCUGGUAAUAAGCAGGUCGCAAACGUAUUAAGAAAAGAAAAAACAAGCAAUGGACGAGGAAGUCACUGCUUUUUAGUUAAUUUUACAAACUUAUGAAAAUGAAGAAAGAAAUGUAAACAGGAGAAAUUUGGCACACUUAAGGAAUAGUGAGGAUCCACUUUUAUUGGAGGAUGCAACAUUUAGAAAAUAUUUUCGUUUUCCGAAAUCGUUGUGUUGGGACCUUAUGUAGGAAUUGAAACCUCUCGAUAAUCGUUUCCGAAAGAUUCGGAUGAGUGUUCAUGCUUUUAAAUUUAGAUUUUUUACUAAACAUUGGCUCAUACCAAUACUGCAUUGGAAAUAGCCAUUUAUCUGCCAUGAGUCAACCUAGCAUAUCUCGAAAUGUAAGGCAUAUAUGCAAACUUGUGUUGGAACAAAAAAUGCGGAAAUAAGCUUUCCAAAUGCAACAGAGCACUACAACAGAAUUAAAAUGGGUUUCCAUAAUAAGUUUGGAAUAAAAGGAGUGAUUGAUGCUAUUGACUGCACCCAUGUUGCAAUAAUUGGACCGUCUUCGUCGUCUAACGUUAUUCCACAUGAAUACAUGAACCGAAACGUAGAAGCGCUUCCGACUGCUUUAAAAUAGCUCUUGCCAUAUUGUUUAAAGACUCCGCAACAUUUUUGAAGCAUUAAUGUGAUGUCUCCCUAAAUUUUGCCUCUUCGUCGCUUCUCCUCUUCAUCGUAGCCAUCAUGCCAGCAAACAUUUCUUGUGAAGUCUGCAUUCGAGUACGUGAAAUUGAUGGCAUCUCGCUUACUGAAGGACUUUGUGGAUCUAUAUUUAUUAUAAUGUCGUUCUAAACGUAAAAAUAAAAUAUCAUUCCAUUUCAUUUACUUAUAAAAAAUAGGUUUAUAGACACAUUAUACGGAAAGAUUUUAUUUAAUCAUACCUCUACUCCAAUAGUUGGGACAUCAGGCAAUCUAUCAACCACGGUCUCCCUAAGGUUUUCAUCGACCGCUCUUCCAACUCGGAGGAAUGAAUUUCUUGUAUUGGUGCUCCGCCUGUCAAUAUACAUAUUAUCUACUUUCGCCUUUCUUGCCCUUAAGGGAAUCUGGUUUUUCCAAUGGUUUAAACACUGUAAAAUAAACAAGAUGUUAAUCACAA